rnacentral:misc_RNA from 1 species
GGGGCAAAACUGAUUUGCUACAGAAACUUGGAAGAAGCAAUUGAUACAUGAAAACUUCAGUCGAUAUCUGAAGAAGCUAACGAACACUUUGUAAAGCUCACAAGUUAUAUUUACAGGUCCACGCGAUUACCAUAGAACUCCUGCAGAUGAAGUGAAGCUAUACUGAAACUUGAGAAUUGAUUUCAAACGUUUCUGCACCAAAACUCCAACUAACAACAAAGAAGAAUCUAUUGAGUGAAAAGGGGUUGAAUACUCCCAACGAAACAUUCCCUAGUAAGCUGUGUAACAAAAACUGUGACAAGAGUUAUGUCCCAAAAAUACGUCUGUGAACUGGUUGAGCAUCAAGAGUUUUAACCACUUGAAUCCAAGGUUUGUCUAUGAUCAAGGUGGAAGUUUUCGAAAGAUGUCCAACAAAUAAAACAGGAUCCCUGAAAGCACAGAAUUCAAAAUUCUUUCUACCGAUUUGUUUCAAAUCUAAGUCGUUCCCUUUCAACUUGCGCUUUAACGUCCCAUUUGCAGGAGAACUAUUAUGUAGCUUCUUUAAAGCUAAAUCUUGACUAUUAGCUAAAUCAGUGUCGUCGUCAUCACCAACUGGCAACCCAAAGUCAAUCAAGCACAUUGCCCUUGAACUGUAGACAAUGACAGAUGAUGAAUUAGUAGAAGGAGCAAAAGAAAGCCCAAUCACUUCUCCAGGAAAUUCUUGAAAUCUUCCCGGCAGAGAGAAUGUAUUCCGGUUGGACCAUUCUCCUAGUUGUUUUGCUUCAACAUCAAAGGCAUAUACCUGGUUCGAAGAUGUGGAUACUAUAAGCACAUUGCUAUUUCUAGGAGUAAAGCCACCAGCUGUAACGGGAGAACCAUUCAAUCUUGAUAUAAACCAAUGUUGCCUCUGUUUAUCUAGAUUAAAUAUAUACACAUCUCCAGAGCAGUUUACAGCACCUAACCAUUUCCCAUCUGCACUAGUGAACAUUCUCGUAACGGGAGGUUCAUUUGGUGGAAAUUCUUCGCGUUGAUCUUUAUGCCGAGGGGUAAAAACAUGAACUAGUUCCAAGCUUACUGCAUCAACCACAUAGAUCCUUCUGUCACACCCAGAUAUAAUCAUUCGAGAAGAAUCUGCACUGAAUUCAAUUGAAUGGGCAAAUGGAAGUCCCGAAGGGAGCUUCCUUUUGCUGACAGUCCAUGCACUCUUGCCAGCGCCACUCUUCUUAAGUUCAAAAAGGCAGGGUCUUACAUGGUCAGAAUAAGCAAACAGUACACCUGAAGGAGAAAUUGCACUGCAUGUGAUCUUCCUCGAAGUUUUGCACUUAACACGAGC